rnacentral:tRNA from 1 species
GGCAGUGUAGCAUAGUGGUUAAGGAGCAGGACUCGUAACCGAAAGGUUACCGGUUCAAUCCCCGGGACACUGCUG